UGGAAUCCUUUAGAGAUACGGGUAGUGCCUUCGGGAAUCAGAACACAGGUGCUGCAUGGCUGUCGUCAGCCUCGUGUCUGUGAGAUGUUGGGUUAAGUCCCGCAACCGAGCGCAACCCCUGAUCCUUUGUUUGCCAGCCACGUAUAUGGUGGGACACUCAUAAGGGAGACUGCCGGUGAUAAACCGGAGGAAGGUGGGGAUCGACGUCAAGUCAUCAUGCCCCCUUUACUGGACCUAUGGGCUACACACGUGCUACAAUUGCUGACGUACAGAGGGCAGGCCNAAGCUGCGAGCAGUGAGCGANAUCCUCAUUAAAGCGUNUCGUUAGUCCGGAUCGCGAGUCUGCAACUCGACUGCCGUGAAGUCGGAAUCGCUGUAUCGCAAAUCAGAAUGUUGCGUGAUAC
rnacentral:rRNA from 1 species